GGGCCCGCACAAGCGGUGGAGUAUGUGGUUUAAUUCGAUGCAACGCGAAGAACCUUACCAGGGUUUGACAUCCUGCGAAUCUCUUGGAAACGAGAGAGUGCCUUCGGGAACCCAAACACAGGUGCUGCAUGGCCGUCGUCAGCUCGUGUCGUGAGAUGUUGGGUUAAGUCCCGUAACGAGCGCAACCCCUAUCCCUAGUUGCUAGCAGUUCGGCUGAGAACUCUAGGGAGACUGCCGGUGACAAACCGGAGGAAGGUGGGGAUGACGUCAGGUCAUCAUGGCCCUUACGGCCAGGGCUACACACGUGCUACAAUGGCGCGCACAGAGGGCUGCAAACCCGCGAGGGGGAGCCAAUCUCACAAAACGCGUCGUAGUCCGGAUCGCAGUCUGCAACUCGACUGCGUGAAGUCGGAAUCGCUAGUAAUCG
rnacentral:rRNA from 1 species